AUACGUAGGGGGCGAGCGUUGUCCGGAAUGAUUGGGCGUAAAGGGCGCGUAGGCGGCCCGGUAAGUCUGGAGUGAAAGUCCUGUUUUUAAGAUGGGAAUUGCUUUGGAUACUGUCGGGCUUGAGUGCAGGAGAGGUAAGUGGAAUUCCCAGUGUAGCGGUGAAAUGCGUAGAGAUUGGGAGGAACACCAGUGGCGAAGGCGACUUACUGGACUGUAACUGACGCUGAGGCGCGAAAGCGUGGGGAGCAAACAGGAUUAGAUACCCUGGUAGUCCACGCUGUAAACGAUGAAUACUAGGUGUGGUGGGACUGACCCCCUCCGUGCCGCAGUUAACACAAUAAGUAUUCCACCUGGGGAGUACGAUCGCAAGAUUGAAACUCAAAUGAAUUGACGGGG
rnacentral:rRNA from 1 species